rnacentral:rRNA from 1 species
UACGAAGGGUCCGAGCGUUGUCCGGAUUCAUUGGGCGUAAAGGGCUCGUAGGCGGGCAUUAAAGUCAGAGGUGAAAACUCGGAGCUCAACUCCGAGCCUGCGUUCGAUACUGGACGGCUAGAGUCUGGUAGGGGGAUCUGGAAUUCCUGGUGUAGCGGUGGAAUGCGCAGAUAUCAGGAGGAACACCGGUGGCGAAGGCGGGAUCCUGGGCCAGUACUGACGCUGAGGAGCGAAAGCGUGGGGAGCAAACAGG